CAGGCUUAACACAUGCAAGUCGAGGGGCAGCAUGGUCUUAGCUUGCUAAGGCCGAUGGCGACCGGCGCACGGGUGAGUAACACGUAUCCAACCUGCCGUCUACUCUUGGACAGCCUUCUGAAAGGAAGAUUAAUACAAGAUGGCAUCAUGAGUCCGCAUGUUCACAUGAUUAAAGGUAUUCCGGUAGACGAUGGGGAUGCGUUCCAUUAGAUAGUAGGCGGGGUAACGGCCCACCUAGUCUUCGAUGGAUAGGGGUUCUGAGAGGAAGGUCCCCCACAUUGGAACUGAGACACGGUCCAAACUCCUACGGGAGGCAGCAGUGAGGAAUAUUGGUCAAUGGGCGAGAGCCUGAACCAGCCAAGUAGCGUGAAGGACGACUGCCCUAUGGGUUGUAAACUUCUUUUAUAAAGGAAUAAAGUCGGGUAUGGAUACCCGUUUGCAUGUACUUUAUGAAUAAGGAUCGGCUAACUCCGUGCCAGCAGCCGCGGUAAUACGGAGGAUCCGAGCGUUAUCCGGAUUUAUUGGGUUUAAAGGGAGCGUAGAUGGAUGUUUAAGUCAGUUGUGAAAGUUUGCGGCUCAACCGUAAAAUUGCAGUUGAUACUGGAUAUCUUGAGUACAGUUGAGGUAGGCGGAAUUCGUGGUGUAGCGGUGAAAUGCUUAGAUAUCACGAAGAACUCCGAUUGCGAAGGCAGCUUACUAACCUGUAACUGACAUUGAUGCUCGAAAGUGUGGGUAUCAAACAGGAUUAGAUACCCUGGUAGUCCACACGGUAAACGAUGAAUACUCGCUGUAGGCGAUAUACAGUCUGCGGCCAAGCGAAAGCAUUAAGUAUUCCACCUGGGGAGUACGCCGGCAACGGUGAAACUCAAAGGAAUUGACGGGGGCCCGCACAAGCGGAGGAACAUGUGGUUUAAUUCGAUGAUACGCGAGGAACCUUACCCGGGCUUAAAUUGCAGAUGAAUUACGGUGAAAGCCGUAAGCCGCAAGGCAUCUGUGAAGGUGCUGCAUGGUUGUCGUCAGCUCGUGCCGUGAGGUGUCGGCUUAAGUGCCAUAACGAGCGCAACCCUUGUUGUCAGUUACUAACAGGUUCCGCUGAGGACUCUGACAAGACUGCCAUCGUAAGAUGUGAGGAAGGUGGGGAUGACGUCAAAUCAGCACGGCCCUUACGUCCGGGGCUACACACGUGUUACAAUGGGGGGUACAGAGGGCCGCUACCACGCGAGUGGAUGCCAAUCCCCAAAACCUCUCUCAGUUCGGACUGGAGUCUGCAACCCGACUCCACGAAGCUGGAUUCGCUAGUAAUCGCGCAUCAGCCACGGCGCGGUGAAUACGUUCCCGGGCCUUGUACACACCGCCCGUCAAGCCAUGGGAGCCGGGGGUACCUGAAGUGCGUAACCGCGAGGAGCGCCCUAGGGUAAAACUGGUGACUGGGGCUAA
rnacentral:rRNA from 1 species